rnacentral:lncRNA from 1 species
AUGGCGGGCCAGAGAGCCCUGCGCCGUCCUGGGCGAUGGGGCGAUGGGAGCCGGAGAGCGGGGAAGGAGGCAGCAAAGCCCGGGAAGCGGGCUGGGGCAGCGGGGAUGCCCAGCGGCACAGCCCCGAGGCCACCGCGAGGGGUUUGGUCGGUGUCUCAGUGGCUUAGGGGAGGCAACGGGGCAUCGCCGGGGCUGGGGGCACCGCAGAGGUGCCCUGUCCCCUUUGCGGCCCCAGGCACGGGAGCCCCGAGGAGGGGAGARGGGCUGGAGGGGAGGGCAGGGUGCCCACCGCCGGCCUCUAGCRACUGCUGGGCAGGUGUCUCGUACAAUCAGAAAAGAAGUCAGCACAGCACAGUUAUCACAGAGAGUACAAAAAAGGAAAAGACACGCAGGGCCGGGCCCCACCAACUCACGCAGGUCGUUCGAGUACGGAUCUAUUUACAGCGAGUCCUUAGCCUACGGCGGCAACGCAAGAGAAGGCAAACGAAAAGCCCUAGCGGCCGAGCCGGCGCGGGGAGGGAGGGAAAUCCCCGGGCAAAGGGGUCCGGCCAGCCCCGGCGCUUGGCGGCGAGGGGUUGCAACGCAAACCGACACGGAGGGGGCCGACGGGGUGGCCGCGGGGCCGAGUCCGCCCGGCCAGGGGCUGUCCGGCCCCCCAUCCGGGCUUGGGGGGGGGGAUGCGGGCAGCGAGUCAGCUGGAGGCAGCCAGCGGCACGCGGGCCCACGGCGAGGCCGUUGGACGGACAGGGAAGUGAGCACCAUGGGUCGCGCCGGCAAGGCAAGAGGCGCCGGCUGAGAGCRCCGGCGCCUCGAGAGCACCAAGGGCAGAGGUGCCAGCAGCCUCCGAGCAGCGCCGGUGGCAAGGCAGGGCCGUUGAGAAGUUGCCCGGUGAGGAGGGGCGCGAGGCGUCCCCGAAAGCCGUGCCAGCUGCAGCUGGCCCCUGCGGGCUGCCUGGUGCCCACAGCGGUGGCAUUUGGGCACAGCACCAGCUCGGCAGCCUUGGACCCGGGGUCACCUCUCCUCGAAAGAUGCUCCAGGAGAGAUGGGCCCAGGCAAGCCCAUCCCAUCCACUCAGGCUGGGCUCCUGGCUGCAUUUGGGAGCAGAGUUGGACCACGGUGCGGGGGCAACCGGGACCCCGUCUUGGAGCAGGACGGAGYCUGGCUGGGCACGGGGACGGUGGCCCUACGAAGCACACGGCAGCCGUGUGCCCGUCCCCAGCACACAAGCGACGGUACCGAUGCCUGCAAGCCAUAGCGUGGCCGCGCGCAAGCUAA